rnacentral:rRNA from 1 species
AGUGAACGCUGGCGGUAGGCCUAACACAUGCAAGUCGAACGGCAGCACAGUAAGAGCUUGCUCUUACGGGUGGCGAGUGGCGGACGGGUGAGGUAUACAUCGGACUCUACAUUUUCGUGGGGGAUAACGUAGGGAAACUUACGCUAAUACCGCAUACGCCCUACGGGUGAAAGCAGGGGAUCUUCGGACCUUGCGCGAUUGAAUGAGCCGCUGUUGGAUUAGUUAGUUGGCGGGGUAAAGGCCCACCAGGGCGACGAUCCGCAGCUGGUCUGAGUGGAUGGUCGCCCACACUGGAACGGGGACACGGACCAGGGUCCUACGGUAGGCAGCAGUGGGGAAUGUUGGACAAUGGUCGGAAGCCUGAUCCAGUCAUACCGCGUGGGUGAAGAAGGCGUUCGGGUUGUAAAGCCGUUUUAUUGGGAAAGAAAAGCAUCAGGUUGAGACCCCGCUGUUCUGACGGUACCGAAAGAAUAAGCACCGGCUAACUUCGUG